rnacentral:rRNA from 1 species
GACGAACGCUGGCGGCGUGCUUAACACAUGCAAGUCGAACGGAAAGGCCCUGCUUUUGUGGGGUGCUCGAGUGGCGAACGGGUGAGUAACACGUGAGUAACCUGCCCUUGACUUUGGGAUAACUUCAGGAAACUGGGGCUAAUACCGGAUAGGAGCUCCUGCUGCAUGGUGGGGGUUGGAAAGUUUCGGCGGUUGGGGAUGGACUCGCGGCUUAUCAGCUUGUUGGUGGGGUAGUGGCUUACCAAGGCUUUGACGGGUAGCCGGCCUGAGAGGGUGACCGGCCACAUUGGGACUGAGAUACGGCCCAGACUCCUACGGGAGGCAGCAGUGGAGAAUAUUGCACAAUGGGCGGAAGCUUGAUGCAGCAACGCCGCGUGCGGGAUGACGGCCUUCGGGUUGUAAACCGCUUUCGCCUGUGACGAAGCGUGAGUGACGGUAAUGGGUAAAGAAGCACCGGCUAACUACGUG